UUGCAAAUAAAUGUCAUUUAAGGUGGUACCCAACACUUUGACUAAAAUUAAUUUGGCUCGUUUAAUUUUCUUUAAAUUUUGACAAAGUAUUUACUUUGACCCUUUGACAAAAAUAUAAAAAUUUGAAAUAAUUUGAACCAACCGUUUUAUCAGAAAAAUUACACUGGUUAUAUAGCAGUUUGAUGAACACUUAUUUUGAUCAUUGAGAAGCUUGAUAUUCCCUUAACAACACAACGUAAUCAAAACGUUUAGCUGAUUUUACAGAGUUAUCUCCCUGUAGUGUUAGGUACCACCUUAACUAUAUUUUGAA
rnacentral:lncRNA from 1 species